rnacentral:miRNA from 1 species
UAUGACAUAAAAGUGAGCGAAG